GAUUUUUAUAGCAUUGCCUCCCCACCAUAGGGCCAGUCAUCAACUGUUCCAGACCCUUCUUGCUAUUUGUGGCUGUUCCUGGUGCCUGGGAAGGAGCUCACUGCCCACCGAGGUUCAGCGGGUUCUCCUUGGGCUGGCUGCAUGCAGCCUGCAGUAGAAAGGGAAUUUGCAGCUGCACCUAAAAGGUGCAUCUUCCCAAGGUGCACUGCUUAAGCCAACAAGUCUUCCUCCCCUGGAAGUGACUGAUAGUCAGAGAGCCAGGAGAGCGUUUCCUCCACACCUGAUCCGAUCCUUUGGCUGGAAUCAUCCGUGUGCAGUUGGAGACAGCCCGAGUAUGUUCCUAAAGUACCUGUGAAUAACAUCAGCUACCCAGCUCUAAAACCUGUUCUAUAGACUGAGAUUUCCUUGGCUGUUGAGGAAACCAAGACCCACUGAGGAGCUGGAAUUUGCGGAGGAUAGGCUACAGCAGUACAUAUCAGAGGGACGUCCUAGGCAUGGAUGGGAAGCCUGGGCCCCAAAGGAACUACAAAGAUGAGAUUGGAGUGAGAAGCUAUGCCUAUUGCUUUCUAUUGCUGAAGCAAAUACGUGAGAGAGAACUCAUAGAGAGAAAGUGAUGAGAGGCUGAUUUUAGGGGAAGGAAACACACACAUGCAGUGAGUAUAUAAAGAGGAAGAUCAUCUACAAGGUGAAGAUUUAUUCAUCUAUUAUAUGUAAGUACACUGCAGCUGUCUUCAGACACACCAGAAGAGGGCAUCAGAUCUCAUUACAGAUGGUUGUGAGCCACCAAGUGGUUGCUAGGAUUUGAACUCAUGACCUCUGGAAGAACAAUCAGUGCUCUUAAACACUGAGCCAUCUCUCCAGCCCGUGAGAAAUCUUCUUGAUUGUCUUAGUUAUUACAGGAGGGCCCAGCAUAAUGUGAGCAUUGCAUCUCCUGGGGUAUGUCUUCCUGGGCUAUAUAUAAAGCUAGCUAAGAAUGAACUGAUGAGUGGGCGAGAAAGAGCCAGCAAGCAGUGUUUCUCUACGACUCUUACUUCAAGUUCUGUCCCUGACUUCCCUCAAAAAUGGAUUGUGACCUGGAAGGGUAAGUGAAACAAACUCGUUCAUCGAGAAGUUGCUUUUGAUCAGAAUGUUUAGUCAUAGCAACAGAAUAAAAAUAGACCACAUAGAUUCUUGGAAUCUGAACUCAAGUCUUUGUGUUUGCACAGCAAACAUUUUAACCACUGAGCCAACUCUCUGAUCCUGUUUGCUGGUGGUCUUGAUGGCAGAAACCAACAACACUUGAAGGAAGAAUUGGGAAGGAAAGAGAGACAAGAAACUGAGACCCCCUGAAGUUGACCCGCCAUCUGCACAGGGUGCCUGUGCUCCUGACAUACCCAGGAGGCUCUUGGAGUUUGCUCAAGAUUAAGAGGAGCUCUUUGUCAUGACUAUGAUCUGCCGUGCCAACUCUCAGACAGGUGGCAGUACUUAGUCAUCCACACCCACAGUUGAACACCACCAAAGUGAACCCUAAUGUGAACAAUGAAUUUUGGAUGAUAACAACGUGUCAUGGUAGGCUUAUUAAUUGUGAUAAAAGGCCCACUCUGACAGCAGAUGUUGAUAAUGGGGAGACAGGGACAGGCAUGGAGAUAUGGGAGACAACAUUGCCUUGACUGAAAAGUGUUCUUCGAAACACCCACUACCAUCCAAACCCAGCAGCACCUGAGAUCCCCCUUCUGUUGGGGUGUUCAGUUUACUAAGAGGUUUAAGAAGUUUUACUGUUUUUUUCCUUUAGUGGAGUCAACAGAAUUUCAAGAGGGGGGCUGAAUUCAAAUGGAUACAUCUUAAGAGUCAUCUCAUCUUGAUAAACUGGUAAGAUAGCACAUCUGGACAGACAGACUAUGGAAGCCUACGAGACCUAUGGGAAUAAAUGGCGAAGUCAAAACACCUAGGUUCUAAACUCAUCUCUGACAUCCUUACCAGCCGUGUGACAACUUUACACGUGUCACUCUACUUCCCUGGAUGAUGAUUUCUUCACCUGAAUGUGGGAAUAUUAAAAAAAAAUAUAUUGUGUUCAGUUCACAGGUUUGU